rnacentral:rRNA from 1 species
UACGUGCCAGCAGCCGCGGUAAUACGUAGGGCGCAAGCGUUGUCCGGAAUUAUUGGGCGUAAAGAGCUCGUAGGCGGCUUGUUGCGUCGGAUGUGAAAGCCCGGGGCUUAACCCCGGGUCUGCAUUCGAUACGGGCAGGCUAGAGUUCGGUAGGGGAGAUCGGAAUUCCUGGUGUAGCGGUGAAAUGCGCAGAUAUCAGGAGGAACACCGGUGGCGAAGGCGGAUCUCUGGGCCGAUACUGACGCUGAGGAGCGAAAGCGUGGGGAGCGAACAGGAUUAGAUACCCUGGUAGUCCACGCCGUAAACGUUGGGAACUAGGUGUGGGCGACAUUCCACGUCGUCCGUGCCGCAGCUAACGCAUUAAGUUCCCCGCCUGGGGAGUACGGCCGCAAGGCUAAAACUCAAAGGAAUUGACGGGGGCCCGCACAAGCAGCGGAGCAUGUGGCUUAAUU